rnacentral:rRNA from 1 species
GAUGAACGCUGGCGGCGUGUCUAAUACAUGCAAGUCGAGCGAACAGACGAGGAGCUUGCUCCUCUGACGUUAGCGGCGGACGGGUGAGUAACACGUGGAUAACCUACCUAUAAGACUGGGAUAACUUCGGGAAACCGGAGCUAAUACCGGAUAAUAUAUUGAACCGCAUGGUUCAAUAGUGAAAGACGGUUUUGCUGUCACUUAUAGAUGGAUCCGCGCCGCAUUAGCUAGUUGGUAAGGUAACGGCUUACCAAGGCGACGAUGCGUAGCCGACCUGAGAGGGUGAUCGGCCACACUGGAACUGAGACACGGUCCAGACUCCUACGGGAGGCAGCAGUAGGGAAUCUUCCGCAAUGGGCGAAAGCUUGACGGAGCAACGCCGCGUGAGUGAUGAAGGUCUUCGGAUCGUAAAACUCUGUUAUUAGGGAAGAACAAAUGUGUAAGUAACUAUGCACGUCUUGACGGUACCUAAUCAGAAAGCCACGGCUAACUACGUG